CAAUAAUCAUGUUAUCAUUAUUUAUCUUAAGGAUUCUCUCACUCGUGAAUUAAAGUCAGCUCCUCCUAAUAGUCUCACAAUGCGUCUAGCCAAAGCUUUCUGUAACAUUCAUAAUGAUUAUGGUCUUAAAGCAAUGGCUCAUAUUUGGUAUGAAGUGAUACAGGAACUAUGCUACAGGUGGGAGAAUGGUAUAGCAUUACCAAGUUUAGGGAAGAGUCAUCCUGACUGUCUUGUUGUCUCUUACAUCAGAAACUACAACAAAAUUUGGCCUGAGACCUUGACACCCUAUCACCCUGUGUCUGAUGUUAAAAUUAAAAUUUGAUAUUGUUAAUUUUAAUCCAGGCUUAUCAUCUGGAACCACUCAUCAGUCUCAAGUGAAGCCGGUAAAAAUGGAUGCUGCUAGUAGCAAACCAAAACAGAUAUCAAUAAGCAGCUAGACACAAUCACUGAUGCCAGCUGUAGUUAAAAGUUUUGCUUCUAUAUAGUAAUGGCAUCGAAACAUCUAAUUCAUUACCUUCUGAUAAAAUGUUUGAUGACAAUGCCAAAAUAUCACCUGGAGAUAGAGACUUGAUUUCUUGUUACAUUAAGGACUAACAGAGAACAGUUACUUAAACUCAAUCACAGCCCACACUGGGUAUGGGACCAACUCAGACUGUGCAAUGUAUCUAUUGCUUCAAUUGUAUACUUAUAGAAAGGACACUUUAUGAAACUGUGUAUAUGACUGACUAAUAGUAUUGUUGAUUAAUAAAGGAUCUUUCUCUCUGUGAUUAUCUUAUGUGUGUAUUACAGUAUAGCAGUAUUGUAUUGUUUUAGUUAAAACUAAAACUGCUGCC